AUCCAUGCUUGCACCUAUACUAAAACUGGAAAGAUACAGAGAAGAUUACCAUGGCCCCUGCGCAAGAAGGACAUGCAAAUUCAUGAAGUGUCCCAUAUUUUU
ensembl:snRNA U6 U6 spliceosomal RNA